AUCAGCAAGAGAAUAAAAAAAUAGUGUUUGGCUGCCGCCGCCUUUGAAAACUCCUGGAGGCCAUGAUCAGAGAUACCAAGGAGGAAUGUUUCAGAGAGGAAAUACCAGACGAGAUGGUUCUUAACGUAUUGUGGAGAGAGACAGGAAACGGGGAGGCAGAGAGGGGGAAUGACAUGCAGCGAAAGGCCGUCCGAUGCGGGAUUCGAACCAGGGCCAACUGCAGCGAGGACUGUAGCCUCUACACAUGGGGCGCCUGCUUAGACCACUACGCUACACGACACCCCAAUCCAGUUAUUUUUACUUCCUUAUUGUUCACUGACAUGUUGUUCAUAGACUCUUAAUGAUGUUUGACAUCAGUUACACAAAGCAGUGCCUUUCCACCUGGGGGUUUCUCCAGCAUGUAGUGUAUUGUAUAUUAUGUACAUUUCUAUUCAUGCAUAACUUGUUUUGGCAGAAAAAUUGUAAAAUGUUAUGAAAUGCACAUUUUGAUAAUUGUUAUAUAAUAUACCAUUAUCAUUAUUUUAUUAUCAUUAUUCUUUUUUAAAUAUAAAAGUAUUAAGGCAGUGAGACAGGAAAUAACUCAGUGUAUGGGUAAUAUGUAACCCAGUUAAUGUUGUUGUAAUGUUAACCGACUUACUCUUUCUUCAAAGUGCAUGACCCUUUUGUUUUAUUCCAUUGUGAUGCUACGUAAGGGGUCAGUUCAUACACUAUUCGCUCACUUGUCAGUCAUAGGACUAUAGAAGCCAUGGUCAAAUAAAUUACUCCGUUUGGACAAUUAAAACAAUUAUGAAAAAAAAACAACUUAAAAAUGUCUCAUCAGUAUUUCAGCAGUCUGAAAUGAGAGAAAGUAUUUCAUUGACCUGAUUUUGAAAGUACCAUAUGUAGUUUUAAAGAUGAAACUCAGCCAGGAGAUGGUGCUCUCCUGUUUAUUUGUUCAGCCAUGUUUCAUGAGCACAGGAAGUUCAACCAGCACCAUUGUGUGAACAUUGCUCCUGUCAAAAAUACUAAGAGAAAAUGCCAUCAUACACUUAAUUCAGGACAGAUUCUUUUGAUUUCAACGGCCUCCUUCUGUGACUCCUUAUUGCAUUUCAUAUGCAGUGUGACUCCAUAAUCUAAAUCCGUUUUCACCUGUUUAGGAUAAGAACACCAACAUUAUUUAUAACCGCUUUGCCAUGCCUAAGAAGCAAAACGGGUUUCCUCUUCCUGUUUUGGCUCAUAUCCAGUCCUGUGCUACUACAUUCACCCGACUGAGCAAAAUCAUAUAAUAUAUACUGUGUGUCAGUUUCUUUACAAACAUAUAGAUAGUAGAGGGCUGUAACCAACAAAGACACAGAUUGUAUAAUUGUCUGUUUCCAUGGUUCAAAUAAAGGUGCAAAUUCAUUAGUGAAAUAUAAAGUGAAUACAAAUAUAUUCUUACACUGUAACAUAAAAAUGUAGCACAGUAGUAAUUGUAUGCCUAACAUUGCCAAUGGGACCAAAUUAAAAGUAGAAACAAGAAUAUACCACCUGAAUAUGCCCCCCUCCCCAGCUCACACCUUGCACGCCUUGACCUUUGGUAUGUCUUAGUUAUGACCCUUGCUGCAAAGUAUUCAAGAUACUGUAAAGAGAGUUC